GAUGAACGCUGGCGGCGUGCUUAACACAUGCAAGUCGAACGGAAAGGCUCCUGCUUGCAGGGGUACUCGAGUGGCGAACGGGUGAGUAACACGUGGGUGAUCUGCCCUGCACUUCGGGAUAAGCCUGGGAAACUGGGUCUAAUACCGGAUAGGACGAUGGUUUGGAUGCCAUUGUGGAAAGUUUUUCGGUGUGGGAUGAGCUCGCGGCCUAUCAGCUUGUUGGUGGGGUAAUGGCCUACCAAGGCGUCGACGGGUAGCCGGCCUGGGAGGGUGUACGGCCACAUUGGGACUGAGGUACGGCCCAGACGCCUACGGGAGGCAGCAGUGGGGAAUAUUGCACAAUGGGCGCAAGCCUGAUGCAGCGACGCCGCGUGGGGGACGACGGCCUUCGGGUUGUAAACUCCUUUCGCUAGGGACGAAGCGCAAGUGACGGUACCUGGAGAAGAAGCACCGGCUAACUACGUG
rnacentral:rRNA from 1 species